rnacentral:rRNA from 1 species
UGGGGAAUCUUGCACAAUGGGCGGAAGCCUGAUGCAGCGACGCCGCGUGAGGGAUGACGGCCUUCGGGUUGUAAACCUCUUCAGGCCCUGACGAAGCGAGAGUGACGGUAGGGGCAGAAGAAGCACCGGCCAACUACGUGCCAGCAGCCGCGGUAAUACGUAGGGUGCGAGCGUUGUCCGGAAUUAUUGGGCGUAAAGAGCUCGUAGGCGGUUUGUCGCGUCUGCCGUGAAAAACCGGGGGCUUAACUCUCGGCUUGCGGUGGAUACGGGCAGACUAGAGUGCGGUAGGGGAGACUGGAAUUCCUGGUGUAGCGGUGAAAUGCGCAGAUAUCAGGAGGAACACCGGUGGCGAAGGCGGGUCUCUGGGCCGAUACUGACGCUGAGGAGCGAAAGCGUGGGGAGCGAACAGGAUUAGAUACCC